UACGGAGGAUCCAAGCGUUAUCCGGAUUUAUUGGGUUUAAAGGGUGCGUAGGCGGCUUAUUAAGUCAGUGGUGAAAGCCUGGAGCUUAACUCCAGAACUGCCAUUGAUACUGAUGAGCUUGAGUACAGUUGAGGUGGGCGGAAUGUGUCAUGUAGCGGUGAAAUGCUUAGAUAUGACACAGAACACCAAUUGCGAAGGCAGCUCGCUAAACUGUAACUGACGCUGAGGCACGAAGCGUGGGUAGCAAACAGG
rnacentral:rRNA from 1 species